AUAGGAGGUCCAGCCUGCCCAGUGACUACGGGUUCAACGGCCGCGGUAUUUUGACCGUGCAAAGGUAGCGCAAUCACUUGUCUUUUAAAUAGAGACCUGUAUGAAUGGCCAAACGAGGGCUUAACUGUCUCCCCCUUCAAGUCAGUGAAAUUGAUCUAUCCGUGCAGAAGCGGGUAUAAUAAUACAAGACGAGAAGACCCUUUGGAGCUUAAGGUACAAAAUUCAGCCACGUUAAACAACUCCACAAAAAGCAAAAACUUAGUGGAAUAUGAAGUUUUACCUUCGGUUGGGGCGACCGCGGAGGAAAAUAUAGCCUCCAAGUGGAAUGGGGUAAACCCCUAAAACCAUGAGAAACAUCUCUAAGCCGCAGAACAUCUGACCAAAAAUGAUCCGGCCAAACAGCCGAUCAACGAACCAAGUUACCCUAGGGAUAACAGCGCAAUCCUCUCCCAGAGUCCAUAUCGACGAGGGGGUUUACGACCUCGAUGUUGGAUCAGGACAUCCUAAUGGUGCAGCCGCUAUUAAGGGUUCGUUUGUUCAACGAUUAAAGUCC
rnacentral:rRNA from 1 species